UGAUACAAUAAACGGCACUGAGGAGACAUUUCAGCCUUACGACUGUUUUUGAAAAAUAAAAACAACACAGAGCCAAGAUGUUUUGAACCAGCCAGUAAAAGUGUGGUGUGGUUACACUGCUGAAAGAGGCCCUCAAAGAAUGCCGUUGCCAUGUGAGUUGCGUGAUCUGCAAUGUGAUAUUCACACGAAUGCCAGGACCCCAGGUUUCCCAGAGCAGCACUGCCUCCACCAGCUUGCUUUCUUCCAAUAGUGUAUCCUGCUAUCUUCUGUUCUCCAGGUGCUUACAGCGAUGGACAGGAAUCAGCAUGGAGACACUGAUAGGUCUGCAGCUACACAGCAAGCUGUCACACACUAUGAGUUCUCAUAUCUUUCGAUCAUGCUCAGCAGUACGUCUUUUUCUAGCAGAUUAUGCUGCAGUGGCUACUAUUUUGGGACUGUCAGCUUUUGCCCAUGACCAUGUUGUUGUUUCACAAAUUGGUGGCCAAGCAGACAGAACACCUGACAAGAUCUGUGGUUCCUAUUUUUCCUGCUUCCAACACCUCAAUUUUCAAGAACUGAUGGUUCACUUGCUGCCUUAUAAAUUCCCUCACCUUGACAAGUGCCACUGCGUUGAGAUAUUUCAAUGUUAUUCAUUCACCUGUCAGUGGUUGUAGUUGAUCUGUGUAAUCUGGACGUUACUCCUCUCUUACAAAAAGAGUCGUUGGAGUGAUCAGAUCUUGGAAAAAAGGGGUAAUGACUACUGAUAUUUUCUAAAUAAUCACUGCAUUAACUGCUGAAUUAAUCUGAAAUUAAAACACAUGUUUAAUUUAAGCCAGUUUUCUACUUCUGUUGUUGAGAAAGCGGCUUUGAAAUCGCCACUUAGGAAAAUCACACUUCUGACAGAUCUGAGACAAAAAAAUGAUUAAAUAUAAAUUUAAAAAUUCUUGAACAGCACAACUAAAUAAAGACACUUAUGAGGAUUAUUUUGAAAAAUAAAUCUUAACUGAUAUUAGCAGAAAUUGCAAAUGGAGCUUAAAUGUUUAGUUGCGCUUCCUUUGAUGAUCACUGCACUCCAUGAAGUUACAUUACAUGCCCAUUUCCUCUUACAAAAGUUAACCUCAUUAGCUGUGGCAGCGUUCUAUGAGACUGCCACUGCUGCGUACGAGGUUCAUACUGUGGUAGUUUAUCAUUUCACGUCUGCAAAUAUUGUGUCAUGCCUGAAUAAAGAAAUUAAUUCUU